rnacentral:tRNA from 1 species
GUGUGUGUAGCUCAGCUGGAUAGAGCGUCUGGCUACGGACCAGAAGGUCGUGGGUUCGAAUCCUGUCACACACG